rnacentral:rRNA from 1 species
UGGGGAAUCUUGCACAAUGGGGGAAACCCUGAUGCAGCGACGCCGCGUGAGCGAUGAAGGUUUUCGAAUCGUAAAGCUCUGUCCUAUGGGAAGAUAAUGACGGUACCAUGUGAGGAAGCCCCGGCUAACUACGUGCCAGCAGCCGCGGUAAUACGUAGGGGGCGAGCGUUGUCCGGAAUUACUGGGCGUAAAGGGUUCGCAGGCGGCAUGGCAAGUCCGAUGUAAAGGGCGAAGGAUCAACCUUCGUAAGCAUCGGAAACUGUCAAGCUUGAGUGAAGGAGAGGCAAGUGGAAUUCCGAGUGUAGCGGUGGAAUGCGUAGAUAUUAGGAGGAAUACCGGUGGCGAAGGCGACUUGCUGGACUUCAACUGACGCUGAGGAACGAAAGCGUGGGUAGCAAACAGG